rnacentral:rRNA from 1 species
UGGGGAAUAUUGCACAAUGGGGGAAACCCUGAUGCAGCGACGCCGCGUGAAGGAAGAAGUAUUUCGGUAUGUAAACUUCUAUCAGCAGGGAAGAAAAUGACGGUACCUGACUAAGAAGCCCCGGCUAACUACGUGCCAGCAGCCGCGGUAAUACGUAGGGGGCAAGCGUUAUCCGGAUUUACUGGGUGUAAAGGGAGCGUAGACGGCAUGGCAAGUCUGAUGUGAAAACUUGGGGCUCAACCCCAAGACUGCAUUGGAAACUGUUAAGCUAGAGUGCAGGAGAGGUAAGCGGAAUUCCUAGUGUAGCGGUGAAAUGCGUAGAUAUUAGGAGGAACACCAGUGGCGAAGGCGGCUUACUGGACUGUAACUGACGUUGAGGCUCGAAAGCGUGGGGAGCAAA